AAGGAAAUGUGCCCGAAAGCUAAGGGCCACUUUGAUAGAGUAGAACACAGAGGUUAAAACCCUCUCAUUUCC
rnacentral:tRNA from 2 species